CUCCACUAAAAAAGACAAACAGACACACUGACCUCAGUGAGGGAGCACUCCUUUGCCAGGAGGCUUUCCACAUAUUUCUGGGUAAAUCCCUCAUCUGUGGGGUGGGUUUUCUCUGCAUCUCUGUUGUUUUCUUGGUGGUGGUACCAAGGGCUGCUGGCAAAAAUGUUUUACUACAACCUUGUUUCCUUUUAGUGGCACCGGUGUCAUUAAUGGUGUCCUAGCAGAAAGACAGACAGAUGGGCUCUACCUUUGUCAAUACUGAAUUUUUUCACUUGAGCUCACAGGAUUUAAGGAUAGCACUGUCAAGAGCCCUGCACAACCAUAACCACAGAGAGACUGAAGGAGUCAUAUAGACUGAACAGAAGGAAAAGUGUUAGUCUUAUAUGGUCUCUACAAAAAGAGAAGAACUGCACACUUGCAGGUGACCACCAGAGGGCUGAAUCGUCACACAAGAAAGAGACUCCAGCAAUAAGCAGUUCUGAGACCAACUGCAUGUCUGUACCCAGAGAAUGAUUUAUGACAGUGUCACCUCUGCCUGGACUAGCCUUACAGAAAUGUGACAGAUACACCAAAAUCAACCCAGGCUAUGACCUAAAGAUCUUUUGAUACAAGAAAACAAGGAACAAACUAGAGGAAUGAUGCAUUAAAAUAUCCAAGAUGCAGGAAGAAUGUGAUAGGUUGGAAUGAAGGAAAAAAUGCAAAAAAAUGCUUUAUAAAUCUACACGAGAACAUUGUUUUAAACUGAAAGAGGGUAGAUGCAGACUGGAUACAAUGAACAAGUUUUUCACAGUGAGGACUGUGAAAAACACAGGUUCCCCAGAGAGGUGGUGGAUGCCUUGUUCCUGGAAACAUUGAAGGCCACCUUGGAUGGGGCUCUGAGCAACCUGAUCUAGUUGAAGAUAUCCCUGAGCAUUGCAAGUGGGUUCAAAUUAGAUGGUCCUUAUAGUUCCUUUCCAACCCAAAACACCCUGUGACUCUAUGAACCUAUGAAAUUGCUCUAUCCACCUGAAACAGGAACAAAAAGCAACCAUGGAAGCAGCAGACUGACACCUCUGACACAAUAAUAACAAAUUAUUUUGUGUGUUUGAAGGAACUAAUGCUAAGAGACUAAAGUUUGUUUGGCAGACUUAGAGUAGGGAGAAAAAAAAAGCAAUCAACCCCACAAAGAUGAGAACCAAAACCUGAUAUAUCAGAAGUCAGGAGGAAACUUCACCUGACUGGGCUCUGGAGCCCAGGAACACACGCACCUUUACAGACCUGAACACCUGCCACCAAAGUGGUUUUUGGCUCUCUUGCCCUCAGACAUCAUUACCUCAGUUUCCACUAAAUGAUCCAGUAAAAAUGAAGCAUUUUAAAGACUUGCUAUUGAAUAUUUAAUUUUAAUAGAAACAAAGUCUUGUAAAGCAUAGUUAUCUACCUGCUUCAAAAUUACUUUUUGUUUCUUUUCCAGAAAGACUAUUUCUUAAGUGCUUACUGUAACCUUACUGGUUUUCCUUAUGGCAUAAAGCUGUACCAUAACAUUGUUUUAAUAAAAAAACCCUGGAAAUUGAAGUUUAAAAAGUAAGAGAGACAUUUUUAUGUGCCACUUGAAAUGGCACAUAAAAAUGACAUUUUAUGUGACAUUUAAAAGAAAGAUAUACUUCCAGAAAUGUGCCUGUUCAGAGUAGCACAGAAAUGAUCAACGUGCUAAUCUAAAUUGCUAUCCAAAUGUUUUACACCAGUAAACUAUGCUGAUAUUUAAUCAGAAAAGUUAAUACUUAUAAAAACAUUAACCAAUGAGCGUGUUAUGACCAAUGUUUUUAUCCUCUAAUACCAACAAGCUUAUUGCAUGGCAUUUCCAAGCUGGGGCAUUGACAAAUGCCCUUUAUUUUAACCAAAGACACUAAUUCCAGAAAAAACUCCAGUAAUGCUUAUAACAAUAAUCUACUUAGAACUUGAUUUUAAAGUCAAGAAACUGAGCAAUGGUUUUGUAACAGCCAGUGAAGAAAGCCUGAUGCUUGGUUCAACACUGACUGUUAUAAAAUAUGUCAGUUGCUACACAUCCCAUGCCUGGAAUGUAGCCAUGUUUAGCACUGAAGUAUGGUAUUCAAUACUAUAGCA